rnacentral:tRNA from 2 species
GGGCGCGUAGCUCAGCCGGAUAGAGCAUCUGCCUUCUAAGCAGAGGGUCGCAGGUUCGAGUCCUGCCGCGCCUGCCA